CAGCGCCACAAGUGGCAAUCGUUUUUAUUGGGCCUAAAGCGUUCGUAGCCGGUUUGGUAAGUUCUAAGUGAAAUCGUUCUGCCUAACAGAACGGCGUGCUUGGAAGACUGCUAAGCUUGGGACCGGGAGGCGUCAGAGGUAUUUUGGGGGGAGCGGUAAAAUGCUAUAAUCCCCGAAGGACCGCCUGUGGCGAAGGCGUCUGACGAGAACGGGUCCGACGGUGAGGGACGAAAGCCAGGGGAGCAAAUCGGAUUAGAUACCCGAGUAGUCC
rnacentral:rRNA from 1 species